GAGUGGCGUCACGCUCACGGCAUGCGCUGUUUGGGCAUUCCUAAUACAGCCCACUUUGCUAACGUCACCCAGAUUGAAGAUGCAGUGUCCCUCUGGUCAAAGCUGAAGUCACAGAAAGCAUUAGAGCGAUGGCAGACAGACACAGAGGAGGAAUAUGAAGACUCCAGCGGAAACGUGGUCAACAAGAAAACUUAUGAGGAUCUGAAACGACAGGGGCUUCUGUAGCACAACAAACAAGAUCUCUGAACAUACAAAAUACUCACAAUGUAAAUACUGAAGCAGAAAUGUGAUAGUGAGUUUAGUCCUCUCAUCUUUUCAACAGUUUGUGAGAAAUGUGAUUGUCUUUUUGAAAGUCAUCAGUUUGUACAUUUUUAUUACUAUUUG